rnacentral:rRNA from 1 species
UACGAAGGGGGCUAGCGUUGUUCGGAGUUACUGGGCGUAAAGAGCUCGUAGGCGGCUCAGAAAGUCGGGUGUGAAACCUCCAGGCUCAACCUGGAGACGCCACCUGAUACUGCUGUGGCUAGAGUCCGGUAGGGGAGCACGGAAUUCCCGGUGUAGCGGUGAAAUGCUUAGAUAUCGGGAGGAACACCAGUGGCGAAGGCGGUGCUCUGGGCCGGAACUGACGCUGAGGAGCGAAAGCGUGGGGAGCAAACAGG